rnacentral:tRNA from 1 species
GCCUAGGUAGCUCGGUGGAUAUAGCGUCAAGCUGGCAACCCGGGGAUCGCGGGUUCGAAUCUCUUCCUCGUUC